AUAUAGUAAGUUAAAAAAAAUUAGUAUCUCCAAUAGUUUUGUAUUUUGGCUUGGUAAAAAUAGAAUAGAAGGCCCACAUCCAACUGGAUCAACUACCACGACUCGUAGCCUAGCCGCCGCGAUCUUCCUGAACGCCGUGAGACUCCUCACGUGGAGAAGGGCAACGCCGGCGCAGACCCUGUCUUCAUCGCAGGGGGCAUCAACUAGUACGGCCGGCCAUCUAGUUCAUCAAGCCGGCCAUUUUCUUUGAAGGGUGAACGCCGGUGCGGUCCCUGUGUCCAUCGCACGGGGCCAUCAGCUAGUCCGGCCGGCUAUCUCCUACAUCAAGUCGGAGAUCUCCUGCUCCCAUCGGGUCAGCAUCACCAACAGCGGACUGCGAACAUAUGAACCCUAUCUUCUGUUGAAAAGAAAAACUAUCUUCACAAUCAGAUCAAGGGCAGCACCAUGAUUACCCAUAGCGGACAAGGAGAUCCACUACCAACGAUUAUGAACCAAUCAUCAAUGCCAACAUAUGGAAAAAUCUAUACUGAUCAAGGGCACUAGCACUAGCACUCUAAAUAUGAACCCUAGAUGGAGGAAGAACAUACCUGAUCAGCAGCCGUCGGGGCCAAGGCCGGCUGUGCGUGCUUGAAAGAUCAGAGACGCGCAGAUGGCCUUGCACGGUUGAGGGAGACGAGCGGAUUCCCUUGCACACGUGAAGGAGACGAGCCUGAUUGCCUUGCGCGUGACGGAGACGACCGGAUGGCUUUCCUCGCACGCGCGGGAACGACUGGCUGUGGCGCGGUAGUCCGCGAUGCGCACUCG
rnacentral:lncRNA from 1 species